UACGUAGGGGGCGAGCGUUAUCCGGAAUUAUUGGGCGUAAAGGGUUCGCAGGCGGCCUUGUAAGUCAGAUGUGAAAGACAGCGGCUUAACCGUUGUAAGCAUUUGAAACUGCAGGGCUUGAGUACAGGAGAGGAAAGCGGAAUUCCUAGUGUAGCGGUGAAAUGCGUAGAUAUUAGGAGGAACACCAGUGGCGAAGGCGGCUUUCUGGACUGAUACUGACGCUGAGGAACGAAAGCGUGGGGAGCAAACAGGAUUAGAUACCCCCGUAGUCCCUGAG
rnacentral:rRNA from 1 species